rnacentral:lncRNA from 1 species
AUGAAGUCAGAUUCCCACAUAUCUGCAUUUGACUCCAAAGUGGAGUGUUUUAACGAACCAGAAGAGACCAUCCCUGGCCCUGGAGCAUACCAGGAUGACUCUUCUCUUAAUGGAAGUGUAAGGUCAGAGUCAGCAACCAGAGCCUCAGCAGCUGUUGCAACUCCCAAGGUUGUGUGUCUUGUCUUGUGUAUAAGUAAACCUGUCCUGGAGAGAAUGCUUCUUGGGCUUGCAGGGCUUUGUCAGUUGUGUUUAGUGACUGCUUUAGUGACUCUUAGGCUUCAUUCUGUAAGAAUCCACUGAUGCUCUUUGGUUUCCAACGACAGUCAAACCUACACCUUAAACUUACGUUUUGGCAUCUGAUCCAAUCUGAUUUGACCUUUUAGGCUUUGUACAAGUCGGCUGAGUUGCAGAAGUACCUAAGAGGCCAAUCUAUCUGAAAUGUGAUUUUAUUUUAGCUGGGAUGGGGCAUCCAUUGCAGUGGGAAAAGUGUCUCUGUUGCCUGCAGAGCCAGCGUAGGUGAUUGGUUUGGACUAGACAUCUGAUUUAUUUUUGCAUAGGUAAGAUUAGAUGAGAUAAUUACACUCAGCAUACCUGAGUAAUUCCUGAAAAGUAUUAUUUUCAAUUUUAUAAAAAUUGUAAGGUACUCUUAUUUUCAUAAGCUGUGUGAUCUCUGAUAUAAUUAAAAUUAAAAUAUGCAUAGGCAUUUAUGGUACUUGCAUAUUAAAACACCCUAAAUGUAGGGGCUGACAAAUAUGCUUGCCAAAACGGUAAGUUUAUGGGUUUUGUAUGGAAUGUGUGGGUUUUGCUGGAAUAUGGGAAGUGCUUGCAUAAAAUUUUACAGUGAAUAAAGCUCAGGUCACUUCAGCA